UGGGGAAUUUUGGACAAUGGGGGAAACCCUGAUCCAGCAACGCUGCGUGAAGGACGAAGGUUUUCGGAUUGUAAACUUCUUUUGCAGGGGACGAAAGCCCGCAAGGGUUUGACGGUACUCUGCGAAUAAGCGACGGCUAACUACGUGCCAGCAGCCGCGGUAAGACGUAGGUCGCAAGCGUUACUCGGAUUCACUAGGCGUAAAGCGCGUGUAGGCGGAUGCUUAAGUCUAUUGUUAAAUUUCCCGGCUCAACCGGGAACGGUCAAUGGAUACUGGGCGUCUGGAGUGAUGCAGAGGAAGCCGGAAUUCCCGGUGUAGCGGUGAAAUGCGUAGAUAUCGGGAAGAACACCAGUGGCGAAGGCGGGCUUCUGGGCAUCCACUGACGCUGAGACGCGAAAGCUAGGGGAGCAAACAGG
rnacentral:rRNA from 1 species